rnacentral:lncRNA from 1 species
CUGGGAUCUGAACAUGGCAAUGGCCUGGGGCCUGAUCGCGAAAAGGGAAAAGCAGUGUUACCAGGGACAUCCUCCUGGGGGUUUUAGAAUCUCCCCCUUGGAGGGGAGGAGAAGAAGAGUGAGGGAGGACUGCCGGCCCAGCCCCAUGAGUGGAGGGUGCACCGAGCCACUAACCUCUGGUCCCUGCCCACCUGGGAGCUCCUCCCUCACAGGCAGUGCCAGUCUGUGGCAGGGAUUGAAUGAGGACUCAAACCCUGCACCUGGACCAGUGACCCUGGGCAUUCUCUCUCAUCAUUGCACAACCACAGAAGCUUGUAUCUCCCUGCCAGCCUUUUAUGAGAGAAUGUGUCCUGGCAAUACGCUCCUGUUGGACGUUAUUAUGCAGUGAUGCUAUAUGGCAAAUGUGCUCCAGGAAUGACACACUCACAAGGCAGUGUUUGGCCUCCUGUAAAAAAAAACCUGCAGAGACAAAUAACUAAGAAAAAAACGUGGAAGAAAGAUGUAAAGGAUUCAUGCCUUUAGUAUAUAAAGAGUUCUCAGAAUAAAUAAGCACUUCGCUACUAGGGGCCUAUCUUC